rnacentral:SRP_RNA from 2 species
GCCGGGCGCGGUGGCGCACGCCUGUAGUCCCAGCUACUCGGGAGGCUGAGACAGGAGGAUCGAUUGAGUCCAGGAGUUCUGGGCUGUAGUGCGCUAUGCCGAUCGGGUGUCCGCACUAAGUUCGGCAUCAAUAUGGUGACCUCCCGGGAGCGGGGGACCACCAGGUUGCCUAAGGAGGGGUGAACCGGCCCAGGUCGGAAACGGAGCAGGUCAAAACUCCCGUGCUGAUCAGUAGUGGGAUCGCGCCUGUGAAUAGCCACUGCACUCCAGCCUGGGCAACAUAGCGAGACCCGUCUCU